rnacentral:rRNA from 1 species
GAUGAACGCUGGCGGCGUGCCUAAUACAUGCAAGUCGAGCGAACGGACGAGAAGCUUGCUUCUCUGAUGUUAGCGGCGGACGGGUGAGUAACACGUGGAUAACCUACCUAUAAGACUGGGAUAACUUCGGGAAACCGGAGCUAAUACCGGAUAAUAUUAUGAACCGCAUGGUUCAAAAGUGAAAGACGGUCUUGCUGUCACUUAUAGAUGGAUCCGCGCUGCAUUAGCUAGUUGGUAAGGUAACGGCUUACCAAGGCAACGAUGCAUAGCCGACCUGAGAGGGUGAUCGGCCACACUGGAACUGAGACACGGUCCAGACUCCUACGGGAGGCAGCAGUAGGGAAUCUUCCGCAAUGGGCGAAAGCCUGACGAAGCAACGCCGCGUGAGUGAUGAAGGUCUUCGGAUCGUAAAACUCUGUUAUUAGGGAAGAACAUAUGUGUAAGUAACUGUGCACAUCUUGACGGUACCUAAUCAGAAAGCCACGGCUAACUACGUG